UGGGGAAUUUUGGACAAUGGGGGCAACCCUGAUCCAGCCAUGCCGCGUGAGUGAAGAAGGCCUUCGGGUUGUAAAGCUCUUUCGGCGGGGACGAAACGGUCCGUGACAACACCACGGACUAAUGACAGUACUCGCAGAAGAAGCACCGGCUAACUACGUGCCAGCAGCCGCGGUAAUACGUAGGGUGCAGGCGUUAAUCGGAAUUACUGGGCGUAAAGCGUGCGCAGGCGGCUCCUUAAGUCAGAUGUGAAAUCCCCGGGCUUAACCUGGGAACUGCGUUUGAAACUGAGGGGCUAGAGUGUGGAAGAGGGGGGUGGAAUUCCAGGUGUAGCAGUGAAAUGCGUAGAGAUCUGGAGGAACACCGAUGGCGAAGGCAGCCCCCUGGGCUGACACUGACGCUGAGGCGCGAAAGCCAGGGGAGCAAACGGGAUUAGAUACCCACGUAGUCCCUGAGCGGGCUGGCAAGGCGCAU
rnacentral:rRNA from 1 species